ncrna:unclassified sequences RAGATH-18 RNA
CCUGUGGAGUGUCAUAACAAACGCAAGUAGCUUCGGCCAAAGCGGACACAAUGAAUCAGGAA